rnacentral:sRNA from 1 species
CCAUAGCCCCGAUUGCAGUGGAAAUCCUUUUUCUUUUCUUUCACAUAAGGAAAAGAAAAAGAUUGCAACGGAAAGCGGGAAAUAGC